rnacentral:misc_RNA from 1 species
GGCACCAAAGGUUAAGUGCAAGACAAAGGUUUACCACCCAAAUAUCGACUUGGAAGGAAAUGUGUGUCUCAACAUUCUUCGAGAAGACUGGAAGCCUGUGCUCAACAUUAACACCAUUAUCUAUGGCUUAUAUCAUCUGUUCACGGAGCCGAAUCAUGAGGAUCCCCUCAAUCACGAUGCAGCUGCUGUAUUGAGAGACAACCCGAAGAUGUUUGAAUCCAAUGUCAGAAGGGCAAUGCAUGGGGGCUAUGUCGGGCAAACGUUCUUCACCCGUUGCAUGUAGCAUCUUCAAGGCUGAAAGAAUAGAGAGAGUCUGUAAAGUUUGGAUGCAAAAUUAUUUCAGGUGAUCUUUCUGCCUCAGAUUGGAUUCAAAUGUCUUUAAAUUUAAGUCGAACCAGAAAAAAAUUCCUGUACGCUAAGUGUAACUCUGCAAUUUGUUUUUCGGAUACGUUCAUGUAUAAGUAAAAGACCAAUGAUGUAGACCUAUGUUUUGAUGAACUUUCUGCACAAUUUGAAUUCAUUUUCACAACAUCAUAUGGGAGAUUCAAACAUGAUAAGGUGCAUUUUCAGUUCAUUACUUAUUCCAGGAUGCACAUGAUUCAAGAAGUAUAGUUGAAAGGGAG